AGAGUUUGAUUCUGGCUCAGAAUGAACGCUGGCGGCGUGCCUAACACAUGCAAGUCGUACGAGAAAGGGGCUUCGGCCCUGAGUAGAGUGGCGCACGGGUGAGUAACGCGUGGGUAAUCUGCCCUUGGAUUUGGGAUAACUCUGCGAAAGUGGAGCUAAUACCGGAUGGACUGGCUUUGUAAUGAUAAGUCGGUAAAGGAUGCCUCUGCAUAUGCAUUCGUCCGAGGAUGAGCCCGCGUCUCAUUAGCUAGUUGGUAGGGUAAUGGCCUACCAAGGCAACGAUGAGUAGCUGGUCUGAGAGGAUGAUCAGCCACACUGGAACUGAAACACGGUCCAGACUCCUACGGGAGGCAGCAGUGGGGAAUAUUGCGCAAUGGGCGAAAGCCUGACGCAGCAACGCCGCGUGAGUGAUGAAGGCCUUCGGGUCGUAAAGCUCUGUCAGAAGGAAAGAAUAUCUUCAGGGAAUAAUACCCCUGUUGAAUGACGGUACCUUCAGAGGAAGCACCGGCUAACUCCGUGCCAGCAGCCGCGGUAAUACGGAGGGUGCAAGCGUUAUUCGGAAUUACUGGGCGUAAAGCGCACGUAGGCGGCCUUGUAAGUCAGGGGUGAAAUCCCACGGCUCAACCGUGGAACUGCCCUUGAAACUGCGGGGCUUGAAUCCUGGAGAGGGUGGCGGAAUUCCUGGUGUAGGAGUGAAAUCCGUAGAUAUCAGGAGGAACACCGGUGGCGAAGGCGGCCACCUGGACAGGCAUUGACGCUGAGGUGCGAAAGUGUGGGGAGCAAACAGGAUUAGAUACCCUGGUAGUCCACACU
rnacentral:rRNA from 1 species